rnacentral:rRNA from 1 species
CGAACGGCGAGGGAGGUUUACUUUCUCAAGCGAGUGGCGAACGGGUGAGUAACGCGUGAGGACCUGCCUCAAAGAGGGGGACAACAGUUGGAAACGACUGCUAAUACCGCAUAAGCCGGCAUCGGAAAAGGAGCAAUCCGCUUUGAGAUGGCCUCGCGUCCGAUUAGCUAGUUGGUGAGGUAAUGGCCCACCAAGGCGACGAUCGGUAGCCGGACUGAGAGGUUGAACGGCCACAUUGGGACUGAGACACGGCCCAGACUCCUACGGGAGGCAGCAGUGGGGAAUAUUGCACAAUGGGGGAAACCCUGAUGCAGCGACGCCGCGUGGAGGAAGAAGGUCUUCGGAUUGUAAACUCCUGUUGUUGAGGAAGAUAAUGACGGUACUCAACAAGGAAGUGAUGGCUAACUACGUGCCAGCAGCCGCGGUAAAACGUAGGUCACAAGCGUUGUCCGGAAUUACUGGGUGUAAAGGGAGCGCAGGCGGGAAGACAAGUUGGAAGUGAAAUCCAUGGGCUCAACCCAUGAACUGCUUUCAAAACUGUUUUUCUUGAGUAGUGCAGAGGUAGGCGGAAUUCCCGGUGUAGCGGUGGAAUGCGUAGAUAUCGGGAGGAACACCAGUGGCGAAGGCGGCCUACUGGGCACCAACUGACGCUGAGGCUCGAAAGUGUGGGUAGCAAACAGGAUUAGAUACCCUGGUAGU